rnacentral:lncRNA from 1 species
ACUUGUCAUUAUGAUGGUUGUUUUUAUUUUUAUUUUUGCAUUACCUUAUUUUUGUUCUUGGUGGUUUGCUUACUGUAAAACUAGAAGGGGGGGGGUUAAGGUGGCAGUUUAGAAUGUCAGACUGAGGGGCUUGGCUGAGCCAUGAGGUUCAAAGAGAUUAACCUGAACUCAGCUGUUUGCCUUACUGAUCUCAUACCAGCUGAAUGUGUGACAUUAAGAUGUCAAUAGCACAACAGAAUUUAUCUAACAGUUUCACCAUUGACAUCAUCCUUUGAAGGUGCUUUGUGUGGCUCGAAUGUGACCUUGCCUUGCGGAAAUGUUGCUUUCCUACAUUGAGACAAAUGCAUCUGACUGGAAUGUAGCCUGCUAUACAAAGGACAAACAGAAGUGCUGCAGGCCUCCGGCCUUCUCUUUUCCUUGCUAAACAUAUCCAACAACUUCAACCGUUCCACAGAAGGUUUGGUUUCCACAGCCUUGAUCAUCUUGGUCGCUCUCCUCUGCUCACGUUCCAGCUUGACAAUAUCCUUUUGAAACUGUGGCACCCAGAACUGGACAAGGUAUUCCAGGUGUGGUCUGAUCACACCUGACCAGAAUAGAGUGGUAAUAUUUCUUUCCUUGAUCUGGACACUAUACUUCUGUUGAUGCAGCCUAGAAUAGCAUUAUGGGGGUUUUUUUGCCACUGCAUCACAGUAUCGACUCAGAUUAAGCUUGAAAAAAGAACGUAAGCAAAGGAGGCAGGGAGCCCUUUGGUUGGGGUGGGGAAUUAGGCAUCCUUGAGCGAUUCAUUCAAACAGUUUGACCCCUUUCAAGGGAUUUCAGUGUUUGAUUGGGCCGCUUGUGGGGCUCUAAUGUGUUUCUGAAGGAAGGAAGCCUCCUGCUUGCUCAUUUAUGGAAAUUGUAACAUAGCAUAGGCAAUUUGGCAACCAAAGGAGAGAGACAGAAAGAAAGAGACUUGGAGAAGAUGCCAC